rnacentral:rRNA from 1 species
UACAGAGGUCUCAAGCGUUGUUCGGAUUCAUUGGGCGUAAAGGGUGCGUAGGCGGCGCGGUAAGUCGGGUGUGAAAUCUCGGAGCUUAACUCCGAACUGCAUUCGAUACUGCCGUGCUUGAGGACUGGAGAGGAGACUGGAAUUUACGGUGGUAGCGGUGAAAUGCGUAGAUAUCGUAAGGAAGACCAGUGGCGAAGGCGGGUCUCUGGACAGUUCCUGACGCUGAGGCACGAAGGUCAGGGGAGCAAACGGG